GAUGAACGCUGGCGGCGUGCCUAAUACAUGCAAGUCGAGCGAACAGACGAGGAGCUUGCUCCUUUGACGUUAGCGGCGGACGGGUGAGUAACACGUGGGUAACCUACCUAUAAGACUGGGAUAACUUCGGGAAACCGGAGCUAAUACCGGAUAAUAUUUCGAACCGCAUGGUUCGAUAGUGAAAGAUGGCUUUGCUAUCACUUAUAGAUGGACCUGCGCCGUAUUAGCUAGUUGGUAAGGUAACGGCUUACCAAGGCAACGAUACGUAGCCGACCUGAGAGGGUGAUCGGCCACACUGGAACUGAGACACGGUCCAGACUCCUACGGGAGGCAGCAGUAGGGAAUCUUCCGCAAUGGGCGAAAGCCUGACGGAGCAACGCCGCGUGAGUGAUGAAGGUCUUCGGAUCGUAAAACUCUGUUAUUAGGGAAGAACAAACGUGUAAGUAACUGUGCACGUCUUGACGGUACCUAAUCAGAAAGCCACGGCUAACUACGUGCCAGCAGCCGCGGUAAUACGUAGGUGGCAAGCGUUAUCCGGAAUUAUUGGGCGUAAAGCGCGCGUAGGCGGUUUUUUAAGUCUGAUGUGAAAGCCCACGGCUCAACCGUGGAGGGUCAUUGGAAACUGGAAAACUUGAGUGCAGAAGAGGAAAGUGGAAUUCCAUGUGUAGCGGUGAAAUGCGCAGAGAUAUGGAGGAACACCAGUGGCGAAGGCGACUUUCUGGUCUGUAACUGACGCUGAUGUGCGAAAGCGUGGGGAUCAAACAGGAUUAGAUACCCUGGUAGUCCACGCCGUAAACGAUGAGUGCUAAGUGUUAGGGGGUUUCCGCCCCUUAGUGCUGCAGCUAACGCAUUAAGCACUCCGCCUGGGGAGUACGACCGCAAGGUUGAAACUCAAAGGAAUUGACGGGGGCCCGCACAAGCGGUGGAGCAUGUGGUUUAAUUCGAAGCAACGCGAAGAACCUUACCAAAUCUUGACAUCCUUUGACCCUUCUAGAGAUAGAAGUUUCCCCUUCGGGGGACAAAGUGACAGGUGGUGCAUGGUUGUCGUCAGCUCGUGUCGUGAGAUGUUGGGUUAAGUCCCGCAACGAGCGCAACCCUUAAGCUUAGUUGCCAUCAUUAAGUUGGGCACUCUAAGUUGACUGCCGGUGACAAACCGGAGGAAGGUGGGGAUGACGUCAAAUCAUCAUGCCCCUUAUGAUUUGGGCUACACACGUGCUACAAUGGACAAUACAAAGGGCAGCGAAACCGCGAGGUCAAGCAAAUCCCAUAAAGUUGUUCUCAGUUCGGAUUGUAGUCUGCAACUCGACUACAUGAAGCUGGAAUCGCUAGUAAUCGUAGAUCAGCAUGCUACGGUGAAUACGUUCCCGGGUCU
rnacentral:rRNA from 1 species